CUCCUCCUGGGCUGAAUGCGCACGCGUGGCAAGAGCUGCGCGCGCAUUCAGCCCGUCGCAUAGGAAAGCAUUUACAAUGCUUUCCUAUGGACGCUUGCGUGCUCUCACUGUGAAAAUCACAGUGAGAAGCUCGCAAGCGCCUCUAGUGGCUGUCAAUGAGACAGCCACUAGAGGAUUAGGGGGAAGGCUUAACCCAUUCAUAAUUAUAGCAGUUUCUCUGAAACUGCUAUAAUUAUGAAAAAAUGGGUUAACCCUAGAAGGACCUGGCACCCAGACCACUUCAUUAAGCAGAAGUGGUCUGGGUGCCUAGAGUGGUCCUUUAAGCCAAGAAAUAACAGUGAAAAAUGUUUCCAACUGUCUCUGCUUAAAAUUUGCAGUUUCCUGUUCAGUUCGCCAUAAUAUUGACUGUUUCCCAGUUUUAGAAAAUUAUUAAAGGGAAACUAUAGUGCCAGGAUAACAAAGUUGUUUUCCUGGCACUAAAAGCUCCCUUUAGGCCCCCCCCAUACCCUCUGCCACUUACCUGAUUCCAGCACCAAUGUCCCACAGUGCUGGUUUCGGCUCCACUUCCGCUCCUCCCCCACCGUCAGCCUGUGGGGGAGACUAUGUGCGCCGAUCGUCGCAUUAGAACUUCCACCAUAGGAAAGCAUUGUACAAUGCGAUCCUAUAGGGUUCAGGGUGACGCUGGAUGUCCUUAUGCAGAGCAUGAGGACGUCCAACGAGCAAAAGUCUCCUAACGACCCUAAAGUCCACUAGAGGUGGAGUUAACCAUAAAAGGUAAUUAUUGCGGUUUCUUAAAAACUGCAAUAAUUACCUUUGCAAAGUUAAGGAACCUGGGACAGUGCACCUAGACCACUGUAAUGAGCUGAAGUGUGAUGGGUUACAUUUAAGGUUUAUUUUUAUAAAAUGAUGGCAUUUAGUGUCAUUUUGCAGAAGCCUCAUAAUUAUUUUUUAUAUAUAAUAUAUGUAUGAUAUAUAUAUAAAACAAUGCCUGGAAUUACAGGUCACAGACAUAGAAACAUUUUGCUGCUUAAACACAGUAUCAGUUUUAAUUAGAAACCUUUAUUUCCCUUAAAAUCGCCACUUGUUUAAUUAAAUGUCAAAACCAUCACUAGAAAUAGGGUAUAACCAUUGAAUAAAAAUGAAAUUGUUUAGGGCGGUGCCUGGAAUUCCUAUGCAGCUGUCUUUGCUUUAAACAUGUGUAUCAACCAAACCACCAUGAACCACCGCACAGAGCAUAUUAGUAAGAGGUCAUUCUGGAUAUGCUGACUUUAUAAAACGGUUACGUUUCUUGUCCUGAUACUUCCAGACACGGAAGCUCAUGGAAAAAGGCCGAUUUUAGACAUGAGCAAUCAUUGUUUAAAUUCUAGGUGUACCUGGAACCUCUAGCAUUGAAACGAUUACAUCACUAAUUAUUUUCCAUUAAAAAAAAAUAUCUUUUUCUAUUCACCAGGCAUGCUCUUAAUGAAAUGAAAUUGGUAGUGGGAAUUGCAGAGAUUAAACCUAGUCUCUUAAUAGGUGAAAUAACAAUUUGUAGCAUUUUGAAGAGUGUACAAAAACAAAAAACACUUAAGUGAUCUGUAAAUUGGUUAUUUGUGAUGGAAAUCAUGUUGUCUUAUUUUAACUCCAACAAUCUCUUUUGUUUUGUGUGUAACUAAGCUACUGCCCCUACCUCUCACUUUAAGUGCAUUCUAAGUUCUGCCCUCUGCCACACAUUCAAGGAGUAUAAUCUGUUUACAGAACAAUGGGAUAUGCCUGUUUUAUGAGUGACUGCUUAAAAUAGAGAAUGGCCCAAUGCACAUAGCUGGUAAAAGACUGCACAUUGUAAUGUCAAACCCCUAGCAAUAGCUGCUAAUGAAAGCAUGUGUAUAUGAAUUACUGCCCUUUUGUAUGAAUGCUCUUUCUUGCCAUUAACAAAGCACUGUGAGACUUCAUUCAUUUAAAAAUGAUUAUUAUGCUGUCAGUGAAUUUAUUUUACUUGCAAAUAAAAUCGGAAAGAAAAUUGUAUACCCAUUCAAAAUGUAAUUACUACUCGUGAUACUGAUUAAAUAAAUGUAAAAAGAUGCU
rnacentral:lncRNA from 1 species